UGCAUCCAUCAGGACUUCAGGAGAGAGGACCAAUUAUUGGAUAGUGGCCAAAGUGACAAUUUUAAUCUCUGAGCCACAGAAGGUGUACCACUGAAUUUGCUAGUGCUAAAAUGCACAAAAGAGGCAUCCCCACAAUGACCGCAGACUACAGUGUGACGGGUAUGACUGUCAGAAGACCAGCAAGACAAGCAGCAAACUGAGAAACCCGAGGAACUAAUCAAACUAAUUUGGAAGAUAACAUGGCAGAAGACCCCGAGAAAGCACUGCAAAAUCACUAAGAAAUAAAAGUUCAGGCCAG